UACAGAGGGUGCGAACGUUGCUCGGAAUUACUGGGCGUAAAGCGCGUGUAGGCGGAUUGCUAAGUCGGGCGUGAAAUCCCUAGGCUCAACCUGGGAACCGCGCUCGAAACUGGCAGUCUCGAGUAUCGGAGAGGGCGGCGGAAUUCCUGGUGUAGAGGUGAAAUUCGUAGAUAUCAGGAGGAACACCGGUGGCGAAGGCGGCCGUCUGGACGAUUACUGACGCUGAGACGCGAAAGCGUGGGGAGCAAACAGG
rnacentral:rRNA from 1 species